rnacentral:rRNA from 1 species
CAGUAGCCGCGGUAAUACGUAGGGUGCGAGCGUUGUCCGGAUUUCUUGGGCGUAAAGGGAGCGCAGGCGGUUUAGUAAGUCUGAAGUUAAAGGCAUUGGCUCAACCAAUGUAUGCUUUGGAAACUGUUAGACUUGAGUGCAGAAGGGGAGAGUGGAAUUCCAUGUGUAGCGGUGAAACGCGUAGAUAUAUGGAGGAACACCGGUGGCGAAAGCGGCUCUCUGGUCUGUCACUGACGCUGAGGCUCGAAAGCGUGGGUAGCGAACAGGAUUAGAUACCCGUGUAGUCCCUGUCUCUUAUACA